UGGGGUAUAUUGGACAAUGGGCGCAAGCCUGAUCCAGCCAUGCCGCGUGGGUGACGAAGGCCUUAGGGUUGUAAACCCCUUUCAGGAGGGAAGAAAUUGACGGUACCUCCAAAAGAAGGACCGGCCAACUACGUGCGAGCAGCCGCGGUAAUACGUAAGGUCCUAGCGUUAUCCGGAAUCAUUGGGCGUAAAGAGCUCGUAGGCGGUUCAGCAAGUCGGCUGUGAAAGUCCGAGGCUCAACCUCGGAAUUGCAGUCGAUACUGCUGUGACUCGAAUUCGGUAGAGGAGAAUGGAAUUCCACGUGUAGCGGUGAAAUGCGCAGAUAUGUGGAGGAACACCAGUAGCGAAGGCGGUUCUCUGGGCCGAUAUUGACGCUGAGGAGCGAGAGCGUGGGGAGCAAACAGGAUUAGAUACCCCCGUAGUCC
rnacentral:rRNA from 1 species